rnacentral:tmRNA from 2 species
GGGGCUGAUUCUGGAUUCGACGGGAUUUGCGAAACCCAAGGUGCAUGCCGAGGGGCGGUUGGCCUCGUAAAAAGCCGCAAAAAAAUAGUCGCAAACGACGAAACCUACGCUUUAGCAGCUUAAUAACCUGCUUAGAGCCCUCUCUCCCUAGCCUCCGCUCUUAGGACGGGGAUCAAGAGAGGUCAAACCCAAAAGAGAUCGCGCGGAUGCCCAGCCUGGGGUUGAAGCGUUAAAACGAAUCAGGCUAGUCUGGUAGUGGCGUGUCCGUCCGCAGGUGCCAGGCGAAUGUAAAGACUGACUAAGCAUGUAGUACCGAGGAUGUAGGAAUUUCGGACGCGGGUUCAACUCCCGCCAGCUCCACCA